UUUAGUCUGCUGGGCGAACAUCGUACAUCCGAUUGCUUAGAAAAGUCAUAGCACACCUCUCCUCACUUAGCUGGUCGAUUUGACACCUCAUUCAUGGGUCUACGACAAAAGGUGCGGGACAAGUAGCGUGCCGAAGUUUUGUCCAGGUGAAUAGUAAUUAUAAUACUAGAAUGUACAUUUCCUGAAGAAAAUGUGAAUGGUGCUUGCAGUGGCAAAACUCGGCACUCGGUUGCUAGGGUGUUUCUAGGCAAUUGCUAAGGUGUUCUGGGUGGUUGCUAGUCGGUUGCUAUGGUAACCUGGGUGGUUGCUAGGGUGUUGCUAGGCAGUUGCUAAGGUACUUGGGGUGGUUGCUAAGGUGUUGCUAGGCGGUUGCUAGGGUGUUCUGGGUGGUUGCUAGGCGGUUGCUAUGGUAACCUGGGUGGUUGCUAGGGUGUUGCUAGGCAGUUGCUAAGGUACUUGGGGCAGUUGCUACGGUGUUGCUAGGCGGUUGCUAGGGUGUUCUGGGUGGUUGCUAGGCGGUUGCUAUGGUAACCUGGGUGGUUGCUAGGGUGUUGCUAGGCAGUUGGUGUUUUUAUAGAGUUCUUAGCAUGUUCUUAGCCCACUUUAGCACUUAGCUAAUCACUAUUAGCAUGUAGCUAUUCACUGCUAGCAUGUGUAGCAUGUUGGAAGUCCAGUUUGCUAGCAUGAGGCAAAAAGAGCCAACCGCCAUGUCUCUGCGAUGCUCUGUUGCAGAGAAAUAGGCCUUGCAAAACGGUUGCUAGGGUACUCUAUUUGGUUGCUAGGGAGUGGCUUGGCAGCUGCCAAUGAUGAUACUUCAAAGGCUGCUUGCCAAUAUAAACCAACCCCCAUGUCUCUACGAUGUUCUGAUACAGAGAAAUAGGCCUUGCAAAAUGGUUGCUAGGGUACUCUAUUUGGUUGCUAGGGAGUGGCUUAGCAGCUGAGAGUGAUGAUACUCCAAAGCUGCUUGCUAGUAUGAAUGAUAUAAACCAACCCCCAUGCCUCUAUGAUAUUCAGAUUUGAAGAUAUCCCUCUAUGCUUUGGGUUGCUAGGGUGCUCUAAAUGGUUGCUAGGGCGUGGCUAUGAAGUCUUGAAGGUGAUUCGUGAUUGGCCGUUUGCUGUCCCGAGUCAAAUGAGCCCACCCUCAUGUUCCUAUGACACUUCUAUCCAAAGGAAUAUCUUUGAUCUUUUUGAAUGGAAGUCUAUGGAACUUGUUGCUAUGGUGCUCUAUAUGGUUGCUAGGGCGUGGCUUGAUAGCUUCACAAUGAUCCUGAGAGACUGAUUGGUUGCCUCAGUAAAAUGAGCCCACCCCCUUGUCUCUAUGACACUGUGAUCCAGAGUUAUGUUCAAUACAA